GGUGGCUUAGUGAUAGAGUGCUUGCCUGGCAUGCAUGAGGCCCUGAGUUUGAUUCCUCAGCACCA
rnacentral:tRNA from 1 species